rnacentral:lncRNA from 1 species
GUUGUUUUUGUUUUGCCAAGAGUCCACAAUAUUUUUCAUAGGCAUAUUAAAUAGCCGAUUGACAACAGGCAGACAGCAUCAAGGAGGUCAAAGCUGUAGAUGAAGGGAGUGGUAAGGUGUCACGUGAGCUCAUUUUAGGAGUUUGGUGUUCCUGGGAAACCCGAAACACUGAAACUCUUAGAAAACAUGGCAGUGCCUCCCCCUCCCCCUGCAGGGCUCGGCUGUAGGACUUUCUGAUUAGGACGCCAUUUGCCCGAGAAUUGAGGCUGACAGUGGACACUGGGACCUCAUAAAAGUAAAAAGCUGUACAGCUAAAGAACCAAUCAGUGAAUGAAGAGGAAGCCACAGAAGGGGAGAAUCUUAGCUGGGUGUUCAUCUGCCAGGUAAGGGAGACAGACCUCCCGGGUCAAGCAGUGUUUCCAGGUCAGCAUUAGAAGGGAACUUGGACACUGUCAUGCUACUGUGACCUCUAAUUUUCUUAUCCCAUUUUCAUCUAAAGUGACUGAAAUGUACAUUAAGCCUUUUUCUCACAAUGUAACUUACCAAGUAAACUCAUUUUCCACAGUGUUCUGGAUAUUUCCUUAAGAGUUCUGGACACCUAAUAACUCACAAAUACAUGUGGGAUGGAACAAUUCAAACAACAAUGGGGCUUCGCUUCCCUGAGUUUCUAAUUUUAUUACUUGUGUUUAGGGCAACGCAUUGUUCACCCAUAGAUCACAUUUUUGUUUGAAAGAGCUGUUGGAAGAUUCACUGCUUGUGGGAAACUGCUUACAACAUUUGGAUAAUUUGCUCUGCAGUCUGAGAAACCAUAAAAUAAGUUUAUAUUGAAGCAUCACAUUUGAGUUCAAAACUGGAUGGUCUCCAGUGACAUCAAGAAGUAUUUUGAAGUAAAUUUUUAUAUAACUUUAAUUCUUACUGAUAAUAGAGUUUUUUCAUACAGUGUAUUCUGAUCACAGUUUCCCCCUCCCUAACUCCUAGAUCCUCCCACCUCCCCACUCACCC